GUUGACCUCGGAUCAGGUAGGAAUACCCGCUGAACUUAAGCAUAUCAAUAAGCGGAGGAAAAGAAACCAACAGGGAUUGCCUCAGUAACGGCGAGUGAAGCGGCAACAGCUCAAAUUUGAAAUCUGGCCCUAGGCCCGAGUUGUAAUUUGCAGAGGAUGCUUUGGGUGCGGUGCCUUCCAAGUUCCCUAGAACGGGACGCCAGAGAGGGUGAGAGCCCCGUACAGUUGGACACCAAGCCUUUGUAAAGCUCCUUCGACGAGUCGAGUAGUUUGGGAAUGCUGCUCAAAAUGGGAGGUAUAUUUCUUCUAAAGCUAAAUACCGGCCAGAGACCGAUAGCGCACAAGUAGAGUGAUCGAAAGAUGAAAAGCACUUUGAAAAGAGGGUUAAACAGCACGUGAAAUUGUUAAAAGGGAAGCGCUUGUGACCAGACUUGCGUCCGGUGAAUCACCCAGCUCUCGCGGCUGGGGCACUUCGCCGGCUCAGGCCAGCAUCAGCUCGCUGUCGGGGACAAAAGCUUCAGGAACGUAGCUCUCUUCGGGGAGUGUUAUAGCCUGUUGCAUAAUACCCUUCGGCGGGCUGAGGUACGCGCUCCGCAAGGAUGCUGGCAUAAUGGUCAUCAGCGAC
rnacentral:rRNA from 1 species